AAAGCUCUACGAUGUUCGAUGGACUUCAUGUUAAUUCAACCGACAAAUCAGACACGGGAAUCUGUGUUUAACUGUUGAUAGCAAGCCCCCUUGAGGGGACGUUAAAGACAGUUAGUAAGAUACCCACCUUAGCAACAGGGCGGGUCUGAAUUAAAUGAAGAAACGGCAUUGUGGAGUUUAC
rfam:Peptoniphilus sp. oral taxon 375 str. F0436 noncontiguous_finished_chromosome, whole genome shotgun sequence.